GACAGAGGCCUCAAGCGUUAGGCGGAAUCACUGGGCUUAAAGCGUGUGUAGGUGGAUGACUAAGUACCUUGUGAAAUCCCACGGCUCAACCGUGGAACUGCUUGGUAUACUGGUUGUCUUGAGGCACUCAGGGGCGAGCGGAACAGAUGGUGGAGCGGUGAAAUGCGUAGAUAUCAUCUGGAACACCAAUGGUGAAGACAGCUCGCUGGGGGUGUACUGACACUGAGACACGAAAGCCAGGGGAGCAAACGGG
rnacentral:rRNA from 1 species